rnacentral:misc_RNA from 1 species
GACAAAUAAAAAAUAUCGAAGGGGAAUAUCAAAAACAUCAGAACAGCAAAGUAUAAGAGGACUGGUUGUGAUGCAGCCAAUGAUACUUCUCCAUGAGAAUAAAGGUAGAGAUAUGCAGUCAUGCUAGUUGGGACGAUGAUAGUCAUCCAUGUGGCAACCUUCCAUACUUCUCUGUGGGUAAGAUGAUUUUGGUCAAGAUCAAAAAUUUUUGCAUAACUAACUGUAGAUUGAGCGAAAACCCAUAAAUUAACUCCCCAAAGCCAAACCAUCA